rnacentral:tRNA from 1 species
GGUUGUAGCUCAGUGGUAGAACACUUGCCUAGCAAGCAUGAGGCACUGGGUUCAAUCCUCUGGACCA